CUGUUAUAUUACAAAUGAUAUGGUUUUAUAUUCUAUGAAAGGACUUUAAACUGGUAAUAAUGAUGUCCCUACGUUGAUGACGCUGUCCUUCUGGUGGAACAUGGAGAGUUCCGCCAGGCCGGAGAGGAACAGCUGAUUGGCUGCGUUGUACACUUGUCCCGCCUCCACCAUCUUGCCGCACAGCUUCAUCACCUGAUUGGCCAGAGACACAGACAACAGACCAAUCAGAUCGCUUCACAGGUGUGUCUCGAGCACAUUAACAUCCGCCUCGAACAGCUCGAGCUUCAAUCUGCAACAGAAUAAAUACAUCAUCAGGACUACUGCGCAUGCGUGGGUUGGAGAUGCUAGGUGUGUUCUUCACCUGCGAGUCUCUCUCCCGCUCUUACCUGAACUCAGUGUAACAGCUGUCUGUGCUGCAGCCCGCUAUCGACCCUGCUGUGACGAGCUCAUGAAUAUUAAUGAGAUGACGCAGCACGACGAUGACGUUUCUCACAGCUCCUAUUUACCUGAACUUAUUUAUACAUUUUUUCCCAAGUUUGUUUUAAUUUUACUGUAAUACAA